UGCUUAGUUGCAGCACUGUGCACGAGCAGAUUCUCACACCCGAUUACCACUCAUCUUUGACCACAAUCAAAUAUCCAUCGAAUAAUCAGUGUUUCGGUUAACAGAUUUUUCAGGUCAGGGCUCCGUAACUCAACCAAUUCUACAAAAGAGUGUUAUUAUUACAAGAUGUACCAGUUUUUUAAAGGAAAGGAACCAUCUGCUGGCCAUAAUUCAGGAUCUCAGGAAGCCAAUGCUUCUUUGAAUGUAAGUAAGAGGAAGGUUGAAAGUUGUGGUACAGCUAAAACUAGAUGUCAAAGCUUGAAGAUUAUGAAUGAUGAUAAAUCUGGGAGCCCAAGGCUGCGUGUCACUGUUCAUGCUGUUACUCAGUCUUCUCCUUCUGCUGUACUUUCCUUCAUAGAGAGUGUACCUCAAGGUGCGUGCAUUACACAUAUUACAGUAGAUGAUUCAGAUAAAAGGUCGCACAGUGAGCCAUCAGGCCCAUCAUCAUCUAAUGUCUUGCGAGAUGUACAUAUAUCUGGUCAGUUGACGGAAGAUUUUCUUGAACUUGCAAAAGACAACACAGAUAAGGAUCUGGAAACCUGUGGGGUUCUCGGUGCUUUUCUUGAAAAUGGGACCUUCUAUGUGACCACUUUGAUAAUACCCAAACAGGAUUCAACUUCCAAUUCUUGUCAAGCUGUAAACGAGGAGGAAGUUUUUGCCAUACAAAAUGAACGGUCUCUUUUUCCUGUGGGAUGGAUUCAUACACAUCCUUCUCAAAGUUGUUUCAUGUCAUCAAUAGAUCUGCAUACUCACUACUCAUAUCAGGUAAUGGUACCUGAAGCUUUUGCCAUUGUCGUGGCUCCAACUGAUUCCUCAAGGUCUGCAACUGUUACACUACAAAGCUCUGGAAUAUUUCGGCUUACUGAUCCUGGUGGUAUGAGUGUACUGAAAAACUGCCAAGAGAAUGAAUUCCAUCCUCACAAAGAACCAGCUGAUGGGAGCCCCAUUUAUGAGCACUGCUCUAAUGUCUACAGAAAUUCAAAUCUGAGCCUUUUCAGAUUUUACCCUCAGGUAUAAGAGCAACAUGUGUACAGGGUAGAAAUUUUGUGCAUUUUCCAGAGUGCUUAAAGUUGGUGCUUUUGCUCGUAACCAUGCACGCCAAGUCAUUGAGAGGCUUUUAUGAUAUGGCAUGUAUCAUAUAUCCUCGUUCAUUGGUAUCCUUUAGUUAAAGUCUGUUAAAGUUCCUGUGAUCAAGUUUUUGCAGAGAGGAACGCAACUCUUUUAUCUACUUGUGGGAUUUGACAACUCCUUAAUGUUUACUUAUUUUCAAAAAGAAGGAAAGCUCUUUCACAUGAUGAAAAAGGAAAGAAGUUUCAUGAAAACAAAUACUUGGAUUUGACAUCACGUUCUUCAAUUUACACACAAGUGCUUUCGCUACAUGCUUUUCCUAAGUCCUUGGGGAGAAACGAACUCCUACCCGCUUCCAAAAAGCGCUCGCCGACACAUAAGGACUAAGGCUGCUGUUAAGUUUUACCUGGAUUAUUGGAAAAUGUUACACUCACCAUUUUUUCUCGUAAAUUUUUUCUCACAACAUUAAUGUAACA